rnacentral:siRNA from 1 species
GGAGUCGUCAAUAGGGACCUCG